rnacentral:rRNA from 1 species
AUUGAACGCUGGCGGCAGGCCUAACACAUGCAAGUCGAGCGGAGCGGCGGACGCGUGAUUCAUGCCUAGGAAUCUGCCUGUUAGUUGGGGAUACCGUCCGGUAACGGGCGCUAAUACCGCAUCCUAUCAGAUGCGCCUCGGUGGGAUUAGCUAGUGGGUGGGGUAAAGGCCUACCCAGGCGACGAUCCGUAACUGGUCUGAGAGGAUGAUCAGUCACAAUGGAACUGAGACACGGUCCAGACUCCUACGGGAGGCAGCAGUGGGGAAUAUUGGACAAUGGGCGAAAGCCUGAUGCAGCCAUGCCGCGUGUGUGAAGAAGGUCUUCGGGUUGUAAAGCACUUUAAGUUGGGAGGCGUUACCAACAGAAUAAGCACCGGCUAACUUCGUGCCAGCCGCCGCGGUAAUAC